rnacentral:rRNA from 1 species
AACGAACGCUGGCGGCAGGCUUAACACAUGCAAGUCGAACGCAUCCUUCGGGGUGAGUGGCAGACGGGUGAGUAACACGUGGGAACGUACCUUUCGGUUCGGGAUAACCCAGGGAAACUUGGGCUAAUACCGGAUACGUCCUUUGGGAGAAAGAUUCAUUGCCGAAAGAUCGGCCCGCGUCUGACUAGCUAGUUGGUGAGGUAAUGGCUCACCAAGGCGACGAUCAGUAGCUGGUCUGAGAGGAUGAUCAGCCACACUGGGACUGAGACACGGCCCAGACUCCUACGGGAGGCAGCAGGUGGGGAAUAUUGGACAAUGGGCGCAAGCCUGAUCCAGCCAUGCCGCGUGAGUGAUGAA